rnacentral:piRNA from 1 species
UUCUACUGGAGCGGUCUCACCCUUGAUGUA